CCUACGGGUGGCAGCAGUAGGGAAUAUUGCGCAAUGGAGGAAACUCUGAAGCAGCAAUGCCGCGUGAAUGAUGAAGGUUUUCGGAUUGUAAACUCCUUUUGUUAGAGAAGAUUAUGACGAUAUCUAACGAAUAAGCACCGGCUAACUCCGGACCAGCAGCCGCGGUGAUACGGAGGGUGCAGGCGUUCCUCGGAAUCAUGGGGCGUAAGGAGUGCUUAGGAGGGGUAAUAAGUAAGAUGUGAAAACCUGUAGCUUAACUAAAGAACUGCAUUUGAAACUGUUACUCUGGAGUGUGGGAGAGGUAGGUGGAAUUCUUGGUGUAGGGGUAAAAUCCGUAGAGAUCAAGAGGAACACCUAGUGCGAAGGCGACCUGCUGGAACAUUACUGACGCUGAGGCACGAAAGUGUGGGGAGCAAACAGGAUUAGAUACCCCAGUAGUC
rnacentral:rRNA from 1 species